rnacentral:rRNA from 1 species
CAGCCGCCGCGGGAAUACGGAGGGUGCAAGCGUUAUCCGGAUUUAUUGGGUUUAAAGGGUCCGUAGGCGGACUUAUAAGUCAGUGGUGAAAGCCUGUCGCUUAACGAUAGAACUGCCAUUGAUACUGUAAGUCUUGAGUAUAUUUGAGGUAGCUGGAAUAAGUAGUGUAGCGGUGAAAUGCAUAGAUAUUACUUAGAACACCAAUUGCGAAGGCAGGUUACCAAGAUAUAACUGACGCUGAGGGACGAAAGCGUGGGUAGCGAACAGGAUUAGAUAUCCCCGUAGUCCCUGUCUCUUAUAC